CUCCCUUUUUUCAUAUUAUCUUUUGUCCCUCCCAAAUUUUUUGUCAGAACACCUAACCAGUUUUUUCUUUCACCUGACCAGUUUUCAAUACCACGUCAGUAUCUUGGGAAAAAACAAAAACAGUAUUAUCCACAAGACCUUUCACAUGCAUUCACCCGCCCAUCCAUUGUCCCUCCCUUUUUUCAUAAUCUUUAUCUUAUAUUUUGUGCCUCCCAAAAUAUUUACGUCACUUGAAAGGUGAAGAAUUUGUGGCAUCAAAACCGCCCUAGAGUAAUAUAAAUAGAAACUAGAAAUGCAUUGGCAUGACAGUAUACAUAUGAACAGUUCAAUUGGAAGCUUGAAAUGGCAAACACAACUACAAGGAUAAUAACAUUUUAGAGUGGAUAGAAGCUAGAUAUUGUGAUUGUUUAUUGUCAUUGACCAAUUCCUUCCUCAAUUGAUAUUUUGGAGAAAUUACAGAAAUAAGGAGACUGGCAGUAAAGUGUUUUCAGUAGAAAACAACUGCAUCAACUGGGUUCAAAAUGAAGGCACAGAAAGUGACAGCUACUUUCACCAUGGUGUUCUUAUGUUGGAUUAUCCAUGGAGUUUCUACCGCAACUGCAUCUUCCACAACUGCAUCUCCUACAACUGCAGAUCUUAUUACGACAACAACAACUGCAGCUCCUAUGGCAACAACUGUAGCUCCUACGACAACUGCAGCUCCAACGACAACUGCAGCUCCAACGACAACUGCAGUACCUAAUACAACACCCACAACUGCAGUUCCUAAUACAACUGUAGCUCCAACGACCACUGCAGCUCCUACAACAACUUUAGCAUCUACUUCAACCACAGCAGCUGCCCCUUCGACAACCACUACAGCCCUAACUACAACAACUGCUGCUCCUACGACCACUACAACUCCAGAACCUACUACGACAACCAGUGCAGCUCCAACUACAACAGCUGAUGUUCUUACAACCACAACGACCAAAGCACCUUCUACAACAACUACAACUUCAGCUCCUACGACAACCACAACAGCAACACCUACAACAACUGUAGCUCCCACAACAACUUUAGCAUCUACUUCAACCACAUCAGCUGCCCCUACGACAAACACUGCAGCCCUAACUACAAGAACUGCUGCUCCUACGACCACUACAACUCCAGAACCUACUACGACAACCAGUGCAGCUCCAACUACAACAACUGAUGUUCUUACAACCACAACGACCGAAGCACCUUCUACAACAACUACAACUUCAGCUCCUACGACAACCACAACAGCAACACCUACAACAACUGUAGCUCCAACGACAACUGCAGCUCCAUCAACAACUUUAGCCUCUACUUCAACCACAGCAGCAGCCCCUACGACAACUACUGCAGCCCUAACUACAACAACUGCUGCUCCUACGACCACUACAACUCCAGAACCUACUACGACAACCAGUGCAGCUCCUACUACAACAACUGCUGUUCUUACAACCACAACGACCGAAGCACCUUCUACAACAACUACAACUUCAGCUCCUACGACAACCACAACAGCAACACCUACAACAACUGUAGCUCCAACAACAACUGCAGCUCCAUCAACAACUUUAGCCUCUACGUCAACCACAGCAGCUGCCCCUUCGACAACUACUGCAGCCCUAACGACCACUACAACUCCGGAACCUACUACGACAACCAGUGCAGCUCCUACUACAACAACUGCUGUUCUUACAACCACAACGACCGAAGCACCUUCUACAACAACUACAACUUCAGCUCCCACGACAACCACAACACCUACAACAACUGUAGCUCCAACGACAACUGCAGCUCCUACAACAACUUUAGCAUCUACUUCAACCACAGCAGCAGCCCCUACGACAACCACUGCAGCCCUAACUACAACAACUGCUGCUCCUACGACGACUACAACUCCAGAACCUACUACGACAACCACUGCAGCUCCUACUGCAACAACUGCUGUUCUUACAACCACAACGACCGAAGCACCUUCUACAACAACUACAACUUCAGCUGCUACGACAACCACAACAGCAACACCUACAACAACUGUAGCUCCCACGACAACUGCAGCUCCUUCAACAACUUUAGCAUCUACUUCAACCACAGCAGCUGCCCCUACGACAACCACUGCAGCCUUAACUACAACAACUGCUGCUCCUACGACCACUACAACUCCAGAACCUACUACGACAACCAGUGCAGCUCCUACUACAACAACUGCUGUUCUUACAACCACAACGACCGAAGCACCUUCUACAACAACUACAACUUCAGAUCCUACGACAACCACAACAGCAACACCUACAACAACUGUAGCUCCCACGACAACUGCAGCUCCUUCAACAACUUUAGCCUCUACUUCAACCACAGAAGCAGCCCCUACGACAACUACUGCAACCCUAACUACAACAACUGCUGCUCCUACGACCACUACAACUCCAGAACCUACUACGACAACCAGUGCAGCUCCAACUACAACUGAUGUUCUUACAACCACAACGACCGAAGCACCUUCUACAACAACUACAACUUCAGCUCCUACGACAACCACAACAGCAACCCUACAACAACUGUAG
rnacentral:lncRNA from 8 species